CAGCUAAGGGUUAGCGGGCAGGGUGCCAAACCCCACACAGUGCCCACCCCCUGUGCUUCUCUGUGGAUCAAGGCGGCCGCCACUGAACACGUCACUCAGUGUGUCAGUAUAAAGUCGGCGACACUCUUCGUCUGCCAGGCUAAGACGUGCCAUCAUUUGAGCUCGGUGCCAGAACGAGUGCCAAGCCGGUUACGACCAUGGAUGGCCGGGCAGCUGCCACCUUCAUCCUCAUCUCCGUGUCGCUGCUGUCGCGGUCCGCGGCGGACGACAGCUUAAAGCAAAGCCCCCAGACGCUCCUGGUCAACACCAAAGGGAGAAGCUGCAGGUUUUACUGCGACAUCGGCUCCCAAUUAUCAGAUGGCACCCUGAUACACUGGUACCGGCAAACGGAGGGCAAAGAGGUGGAGAGAAUCUUAUACCAGAACUCGGGGGAGUACAUCAACGACGAGGGCUUCAAGCAGCGCUUUACCGGGGGCAAGAGGGACAGGCGCAUCAUCCUGACGGUGACCGGCGCCACCCCGAAAGACGCGGGGAUCUACUACUGUGCCUACUGGGAUGGCACGGCGGCACCGGAGGGCGGACCGCCGCGCAAAAACUGCGACACGGGCUAGCGCCACCUAUCUGCGACACGAGCCAGCGCCACCUGUCUUGACACGAACCGGACAGUGCCACCUAUCCACGACAAGGUGGAGCCGAUCGAUUCCCUUGACUCUAAAAAUCUCACAUCUGCUCAGCGGCGUUCAGGACAGGAGUUUGAACUGAUGAGGGGCUUUCCAGCAAACCCACCCAAAAGGCGCCGCAUCUUAACGGUGAAGAUGCUUCCCUGAGCGUCAAUGAAAGCGUUGGAUUGCCUGAGAACCUCAGUGAGACAUUUUUUUUCUUAGGAAUGUAAGCUUAUUCUACCUAAAACUUCAAGGGCAGCUCCUUCAUCCAACUUCAACAGUACAGACAGUUGUCGAAGAGCAGCACAAUGUGCCUGAGUUGGGACAUGAUGACACUUCAAAUAACUACGUUCACUUUUUAAAAAGGACACGUGUCUAACAGAAGAUACCAUUGUUAAUAUCUGUGAUUGUAUGAGGGAUUCAGAUCUGUUAUUUGUCAUCAGGGGCCACUAAGGACAAGAGCUCAGGUGUUUAAAAAGAUGUUCAGACACAAAGAGCCUCAAAAAGUAACAUUAGGAAAUGAUGAAAAUAUGACACAAAGGUUUGCUUCCUACAUACCUGUGAUGCAAACAUUCAGUAGCUUAUUAGAAUCAGAAUUAUGGAAGAAUUCAGUGUCAUAACAGUAUUGUGAAACAGACUCCGAUUAUUUUGGUGACAUAAAUGAUUCUGCUGUUGGUAAUCUUCAAGCUGAAGACAGUCAAGACGUCAAAGAAAUGACUGACUUGGAACAAACAUUUCUACGCACCGCCAUCGCUGAUCUCCUUGCCUGACCUUCCAGAGGCCACAAAAGAUAUUCUAGAAGAUAACUUGCGAUCCUUUGGGAUGGAGACAUACGAUGAUUUUCGGUGUAUUGAGGAAGACAAUUUGCUGUCCGCGUUGAGGCCAGGAAAGUCCUUGCUGCUUGGAAGCUGAGAUGCAAGUCAAGUAUUGCAGUUCCCAAAGUAGCCACCAUAAAAGCUCAAUCCUAAAUAUAGAAACAUCGUGUUCCUGGUAAUUCUUUUUACAGGUCUGUCUGUGUGUGUGUUUUGCAGGCCGGACUCCUGAAAGCAGCAGCUCUUCUGUUGGUGCCUCACCAGGACCUCCCGGAUCCUUCGUCUCCUUCACCCAGUUCAUCCUCGGUUACUGUUCGCUCUUAAGGUUAGUCACAGUGGCCUUAACUAAAUCUGCACAUACACUGAUAGUCAGCAAUUUUAAAUGACCUUGGAAAACUAAAAACAAAUCCUCCACUUGCUUUGUGAAAUGUUUUAGGAAUACAAGACUUGUUUGAAUUUUGUUUUCUAUUUAGGACAAUCCUGCUAUUUUUCAAGAUGGUUCAUGCUGAGUGUAGCGUUGUGAGCAACAACAAACCCUCCUUUGUUUCUGCCCUGUGCAUGAUGUGUGGGAGCUAUAAUUACUUGAACAUCCAUUACCCAUCAACUCCGGAGUUUGUGCCGAGGUGUCAUUUUGACUUGGCUUUACCCAAUUUUUACACACAAAUCUAAAGUAGCUGCUCCAUUUAACUUUGAGGUUAACCCGUCAUUGUACCUUCUUACUAUUAUAAGAGGCUUUGAAAUAAUCUGCUUAUUGUUAAUAAAGUGGAGUCGUUAUUAAUAUGGUCAUCUGUGUGUCUUCUGUUUCCCAAGGUGUUUUUUCUCCGUCAACCCAGAGAAGGUCACUAAAGUGCAGAAGACAAACGCAUCGCGUCUUCGUGUUACCCCAGAGUAGUUCCCUUGAUUCAAGAACUUCCAGAUCAUGAGUGGCGUGAUGUCUGACUAUGGACAGUAAUAUUUAUGGCAUUUAUUGAUGUGCCUCACUUAUAGUUAGAAUUUUUCUUUCACUUUAUCUGCUUAGCUGUACAAAUUCAAGAAGCAAGGAAAAGUUUCAGAUGAAAUUGUUACAAAGUUUGUAAGCAACAUUACUGAGUUUAUUGCUCUUGUAUUUCCUCAUUUCCAUGCCUGUACCUCAAUUUGAAGAGCUUGUAUGGAAAUAUUAUUUUUUAUAUGUGUUCUGUGUAUUCUAGUAAGGAAAUGCAGUAACCCUUAAAGGGUGUUACAAACUCCUAGAAAAUAACCCUUCAUUGUCCUUAAGAUGACUUUCAUUCUAAACAUCUUUUCUUCUUUCUUGCCCUCUUUCUCUGUUUUUCUUUUUCGCUCUUACUCUGCAUCUUCUUUCAGUUCCAGUAAGAUCACCAGUGAUCUGUUUUGUAAACUUUGGAAUUGGAAUACGUAUGUUGAACAAAAACGUCUCAUUUUUCACUACGUUGAGGUUAACAAAUUAUUGGAAAAGCAACUUACUAUCUUUAAAACUGCAGAAGACACUAAAACAAAAUUUGAGUACAAAAUUAGUUUUCAGUUAAAUGACGGUCUUUUAUGAGGUUUUUACAGUUCAACAAUUUUGUUUGGUACUGUGGUACGCUCUGUGGUCCACAGCUCACUGAGUAAAGGCCAUUUUUAAAUAAUCGACGCGCUCGCGGCUUAGCAAGGAGU